rnacentral:rRNA from 1 species
UAUCUCUGUAGAGUCUGCAUAUCAAUAAGCGGAGGAAAAGAAACUAACUAGGAUUCCCUCAGUAACGGCGAGUGAAGCGGGAAGAGCUCAAAUUUGAAAUCUUCAAGGUUCUACCUUGACGAAUUGUAGUUUAAAGAAGUGUUUUCUGUUGGAUGUUUGGUAAAAGUUCUUUGGAAUAGGACAUCAUAGAGGGUGAGAAUCCCGUAUUUGACCAUUACUUCCAGCUUUGUGAUACACUUUCAAAGAGUCGGAUUGUUUGGGAAUGCAGUCCAAAAUGGGUGGUAAAUUUCAUCUAAAGCUAAAUAUUGGCGAGAGACCGAUAGCGAACAAGUACCGUGAGGGAAAGAUGAAAAGAACUUUGAAAAGAGAGUUAAACAGUACGUGAAAUUGUCAAAAGGGAAGCGUUUGACACCAGUGUUGUUUUCUCGAAAAUCAAUUAAAAAAGGCAGGAUUUUGUGUUGUAUUGACUUUAUCAGCUUUCUGCACUCUUUUCUUGUCUUUUUUAAUGCACUUUUCGUUUAACAAGUCAACAUCAAUUUCCUUUGUUGUAAAAGGGUCAUUGGAAGGUGGCUUUCUUUUCGGAGAAAGUGUUUAUAGCCUUUGGCCUCUGCAAUCGGAGAGAUUGAGGUCUGCAGCGUAGAUCCUUCGGGGUUAGAUACAUUUGUGCUAAGUUAUAGCCUUUCAUAGACAACUUGUUGACUAUGAUCAGUCAUGUAGCUUACUCGCUUAUGCUAUUUUACCUACGCUUAGGAUGUUGACGAUCAGCUGAGCGCG